GCUACGCAACCCCAGAAACCGCAACGCGACUCGAGCUGCUGCAGUGCGCAACAACCCCUCAACUGAUCGACACCGAUCUUGUGAAAUUUAUUUUCAAGCAAAUAUACAACCUAUACUCCAGAUAUCAAUGGCACAUGAAUAUCUAUUGGCACCAAGAAGAAUUUCUGGAGCUCUAUACCAUAAAGUGACUACUUCAUGUGUAUAUACUCUAACUGGUAUUCCAAAUGCUCUUCCAAGUCCAAAAUCUGCUACCUUGAUCAAUCCUGAUUUGUCAAUUAAUAAAUUUUGUGGUUUCAGAUCACGAUGAAAUAUUCUACGUUUAUGACAGAAUAAAAUAGCACGUGUAAU